UUUCCCUUAGGAUAGUUGGAGCUUGCUGACGAGUUCUAUCAGGUAAAGCCAAUGAUUAGAGGCAUUGGGAGCGUAAUGCCCUCGACCUAUUCUCAAAUUUUAAAUAGGUAGGACGGCGUGUUUGCUCUAGUGAGCCGCGCCACGGAAUCAUGAACUCCAAGUGGGCCAUUUUUGGUAAACAGAACUACUAAUGCAGGACAAACUG
rfam:Glycine soja cultivar W05 scaffold669_21, whole genome shotgun sequence.